rnacentral:SRP_RNA from 1 species
AGCCGGGGAGUUAGCGGUGCCCUGUACCUGCAAUCCGCUACAGCAGGGGUGAUACUGAUCCGAGGGUCUUUUACUGCGAGGCAGCCCUCUAUAAGUGGCGUUGACGCCUGGGUCUUGCGCAACAGGAAUCUGUGAACCGUGUCAGGGCAGGAAUGCAGCAGCACUAAGCAGAACCUCUUGUGUGCCGCAAGGUCGCCUGGGCCGAGUUAACUGUAGAGGUAACGUUCGUGGUAGGGAUUCGAAGAGAGGUGCGCGG